rnacentral:rRNA from 1 species
GACGAACGCUGGCGGCGUGCCUAAUACAUGCAAGUAGAACGCUGAAGCGAGGAGCUUACUCUUCUUGGAUGAGUUGCGAACGGGUGAGUAACGCGUAGGUAACCUGCCUUGUAGCGGGGGAUAACUAUUGGAAACGAUAGCUAAUACCGCAUAACAAUGGAUGACACAUGUCAGUUAUUUGAAAGGGGCAAUUGCUCCACUACAAGAUGGACCUGCGUUGUAUUAGCUAGUAGGUGAGGUAAUGGCUCACCUAGGCGACGAUACGUAGCCGACCUGAGAGGGUGAGCGGCCACACUGGGAGGGAGACAGGGCACAGAGUGCUAGGGGAGGGAGCAGUAGGGAAUCGUCGGGAAGAGGGGCAACACUGACCGAGCAACGCCGAGGGAGGGAAGAAGGUUGUCGGAUCGUAAAGCUCUGUUGUAAGUCAAGAACGGGUGUGAGCGUGGAAAGUUCACACUGUGACGGUAGCGUACCAGAAAGGGACGGCUAACUACGUG